GUCCAGACUCCUACGGGAGGCAGCAGUGAGGAAUAUUGGUCAAUGGGCGCGAGCCUGAACCAGCCAAGUCGCGUGAGGGAAGACGGUCCUAUGGACUGUAAACCUCUUUUGUCAGGGAGCAAAGGGCGCCACGUGUGGCGUUUUGCGAGUACCUGAAGAAAAAGCAUCGGCUAACUCCGUGCCAGCAGCCGCGGUAAUACGGAGGAUGCGAGCGUUAUCCGGAAUUACUGGGUGUAAAGGGAGAGCAGACGGCGAGGUAAGCCUGAAGUGGAAGCCCGCGGCCCAACCGCGGAACUGCUUUGGGAACUGUUUUGCUGGAGUAUGGGAGGGGUAAGCGGAAUUCCUGGUGUAGCGGUGAAAUGCGUAGAUAUCAGGAGGAACACCGGUGGCGAAGGCGGCUUACUGGACCAUAACUGACGUUGAGGCUCGAAAGCGUGGGGAGCGGACAGGAUUAGAUACCCCAGUA
rnacentral:rRNA from 1 species